rnacentral:lncRNA from 1 species
AUGUUGGUGCCACAUCCAUGCCGUGCCCCUGUGCCAUGUCUGUCAUGUUUGUGCCAUGUUUGUGCCACAUCCAUGCUGUGUCUCUGUGCCGUAUCUGUGCCAUGUCUUUGCCAUGUUUGUGCCAUGUCUGUGCCAUGUUGGUGCCACAUCCAUGCUGUGCCCCCGUGCCAUGUCUGUGCCAUGUCUGUGUCAUGUUUGUGCCUUGUUUGUGCCACAUCCAUGCUGUGUCUCUGUGUCGUAUCUGUGCCAUGUCCCUGCCAUGUUUGUGCCAUACUUGUAACGUGUGCCUGUGCUGUGUCUGUGCCAUGUUUGUGUCAUAUCUGUGCCACUACUGUGCCAUUUCCAUGUGCCAUAUUUGUGCCAUGCUUGUGCCGUGUCUCUAUGCUGGGUCUGUGCCAUGUCUGUGCCAUAUCCAUGCUGUGUUUGUGCCAUGUCCAUGUGCCAUGUUUGUGCCAUGUCUGUUCCAUGUCUGUGCCAUGUUUGUGCCACAUCCAUGCUGUGCCCCUUGUCAUGUUUGUGCCACGUCUGUGCCAUGUUUGUACCUUGUCUGUGCCAUGUCUCUGCCAUGUUUGUGCCAUGCUUGUGCCAUGCUUGUGCCAUGUCCCUGUGCCAUGUUUGUGUCAUGUCUGUGCCAUGCCUGUGCCAUGUCUGUGCCGUGUCCCUGUGCUGUGUUUGUGCCAUGAACCUGUUCUCUAUCCAUGUGCCAUGUUGGUGCUGUCCCUGUGCUGUAUCCCAGUGCCAUAUCUGUGCCAUGCUCUCGUGUCCCUGUGCCACAUCCGUGCCAUGUUCCUAUGCCAUGUUUGUGUCAUAUCUGUGCCAUAUCUCUGUGCCAUGUUGGUGCUGUGUCUGUGCCAUGCCCCAGUGCCACAUCUAUGUCCCUGUCCCUGUGCCAUGUAUGUGCUACAGCCAUGCUGUUUCCCUGUGCCACAUCCCUGUGCCAUGUUCCUGUGCCAUGUCUGUGCCAUAUGUCUGUGCCAUGUCUGUGCUGUGUCCCUGUACCACAUCCGUGCCAUGUCCCUGUGCCAUGUCCCUAUGUCACAGCCACAUCUGUGUGCUGUGUCACCUCCCUGUGCCUCAUCCAUGCCCCAUCCGUGUGCCACGUCCCUGUGCCAUGUCUGCGCCACUCCAUGCUGUAUCCCUGUCCUUUAUCUGUGCCACGUCCCUAUGCAGUCUCUGUCCUUUGUGCCAUGUUUGUGCCACAUCCCUGUGCCACAUCUACACCCCCUCCCUGCACCGCGUCCAUUCCGUGUCCCCGUGCCACAUCCAUGUGUCCCACGGUGCCACGUGUGCAUGUGA